AACCCCAUAGGCCCAUACUUAGAAUUAUUUUCCCCAAAAUUUCCAAGCCCUAGCUGCUCAAAUUGUUACCCAAAAAAAAAGAUAAUAGAAAUUAAAAACACAAGAGAGGAGAGAGACUGAGAGAAAUUCAUGAAUUUCGCAUCAAUUCGCAAUUCGCAGAUCUAGGGUUUAGAGGGUCUGUAAUUCGCAAGUGAGGGUUUAGAGGGUCUGCUUCGGGGGUUUAGAGGGUCGGCAACACCACCACGAGGAAGGAAGAGGACGUCGAAGGAAGGAGACGAGCCAUCCAUUCAUGAAUUUUGCAUCAAUUCACAAUUCGCAGUUCUAGGGUUUAGAGGGUCUGUAAUUCGCAAGUGAAGGUUUAGAGGGUCUGCUUCGGGGGUUUAGAGGGUCGGCAACACCACCACGAGGAAGGAGAGGACGUCGAAGGAAGGAGACGAGCCAUCCAUUCAAGUUGUAAUCCCGUAAAACAGAUUCAUAAACUCUCACAAGAGGGUUAUGUUCAUGAUUUCAAGACUUGCGAGUUGCUAGCAGUGUUUAAAAAAGCAGUAAAUUGCAUGGUUGGUACUGAUCAUUGGUAACCUUCAAAACCAGUUGGUAAAGCUGUUGAAAGGAGCUCAUGAAAGUACAUAUGGUGGAUGCAUAUAUUUCACUCAUCUUAGAAGUCUGGUCAUCUGGUGGAUGGUUACCCAGGCCAUGUGGUUUGCCAAAUACAUUUAGAAUCUUGCAUAACUGAGGAAGAGAACUGUGAAGCUAAGCAAGGUGCAUCCAGAGUCGUGCACGGUUGAACGAAUCGAGGUUUUGGCUCAGUCCCUGACUAUGGGUGAUUUUGUGAAGAAUAAUAAUCCCAAACAGAAGCAUCAUCAGGUUAAGUAAGGUGAGCUAAAUGGAGAAGAAAUGGAGAAAAAUGUAGAUCUAGCAAUGACAUGGUGGAGGCUCUUGUUUGUUUUUGAGUCAUUUUGUGAUUUCUAGUAAUGUACAUUGAAUUUGUUUAUGUGGAUUUUAAUUUUAUGCAUUUUUUCAUUAAAAACACUAAAUUAAUUAGUGAACGAUUAUUUUGUAAUGCAUGUGUCCUAUGGGCACUAAUAUUGUAAUAUUACUCUUUAAGUCAAUGAAAAUCUUUUAUUAUUGA